AGUGAACGCUGGCGGUAGGCCUAACACAUGCAAGUCGAACGGCAGCACAGUAAGAGCUUGCUCUUACGGGUGGCGAGUGGCGGACGGGUGAGGAAUACAUCGGAAUCUACUUUUUCGUGGGGGAUAACGUAGGGAAACUUACGCUAAUACCGCAUACGACCUACGGGUGAAAGCAGGGGAUCUUCGUACCUUGCGCGAUUGAAUGAGCCGAUGUCGGAUUAGCUAGUUGGCGGGGUAAAGGCCCACCAAGGCGACGAUCCGUAGCUGGUCUGAGAGGAUGAUCAGCCACACUGGAACUGAGACACGGUCCAGACUCCUACGGGAGGCAGCAGUGGGGAAUAUUGGACAAUGGGCGCAAGCCUGAUCCAGCCAUACCGCGUGGGUGAAGAAGGCCUUCGGGUUGUAAAGCCCUGUUGUUGGGAAAGAAAAGCAGCAGGUUAAUACCCCGCUGUUCUGACGGUACCCAAAGAAUAAGCACCGGCUAACUUCGUG
rnacentral:rRNA from 1 species